rnacentral:rRNA from 1 species
AUUGAACGCUGGCGGCAGGCCUAACACAUGCCAGUCGAGCGGAUGAAGGGAGCUUGCUCCUGGAUUCAGCGGCGGACGGGUGAGUAAUGCCUAGGAAUCUGCCUGGUAGUGGGGGAUAACGUCCGGAAACGGGCGCUAAUACCGCAUACGUCCUGAGGGAGAAAGUGGGGGAUCUUCGGACCUCACGCUAUCAGAUGAGCCUAGGUCGGAUUAGCUAGUUGGUGGGGUAAAGGCCUACCAAGGCGACGAUCCGUAACUGGUCUGAGAGGAUGAUCAGUCACACUGGAACUGAGACACGGUCCAGACUCCUACGGGAGGCAGCAGUGGGGAAUAUUGGACAAUGGGCGAAAGCCUGAUCCAGCCAUGCCGCGUGUGUGAAGAAGGUCUUCGGAUUGUAAAGCACUUUAAGUUGGGAGGAAGGGCAGUAAGUUAACACCUUGCUGUUUUGACGUUACCAACAGAAUAAGCACCGGCUAACUUCGUG